rnacentral:lncRNA from 1 species
CCGCCGAAAAUCUCCCACCGGCGGCGGUCGUCCUCCAAUACGACCAAAAAUUUUACCAUAUAAUCUCCACCACCUCCUCUUUCCAUAUCUUCAAACCAAAUCCUUCAGAAAACUCUCAAGCUCCUGGAAUCUUAGAUCUAAGAAACUUUCCCGUCACUUUUUCGCUCAAGUUAUUGAAGUUCCUGCUACUACCACCCUACAAUACAUACAUCAACGGAUAGGUCUCCUCAAGAACUAGCUAUUGAGGUCAAUUCUAGCUCAAAAAUCCGGCGACCAAAAUCUGGGCAAAUUCCGGCGAUCUCCCUGAACAUCCUUCUUGGCACACUACCAUUUUUACGACCAUUUGAAUUAUAAAAUGGUAAAAUACUUUAUUUUUCGUGGCUAAUUUUUUAUUUUUUAUUUUUUAUUUUUGUUUAUUAUUUAUUUUAGCAUUAUUUUUUGAAGUUUCAAAUAUUAAAUUUUCUAUUUAUAGAUUAUAAUCUGUAUAGUCGAUUGAAUAUAUGUCGUCAAUUAGGUCUUCAGGUUCGAAUAAUAGAACAUCAUGAAUAUAUAUAUAUAUAUAUAAAUAUNNNNNNNNNNNNNNNNNNNNNNNNNNNNNNNNNNNNNNNNNNNNNNNNNNNNNNNNNNNNNNNNNNNNNNUAUAUAUAUAUAUAUAUAUAUAUGUACACACAUUUUAUCUCUGCGUUAAUUGUGUGUUUUAAACCUGUUAAAUGCUUGAACGUCUAGUUGAUAUUCAGUUUUACUCGUAUUUUCAAUUCCUUUUGUUUGCAUGUCUAAUUAAACUGCCUUGAAUUGUUGUUUGAAUUUGAUUAAGAAUUGGUUAUAGUUAUUAUAUUUUGGUUAAUUGAUUUAGGUGAAUUGGUUAUAGCUGAUAGGGGUAGAGUAGUAAUUUUCAGUAAUCUCAGAGGCAUUUUUGAAAUAUAAAAGUUAGAUUUUAUUUAAUUUAAGUGUUAUGUCCACUAGAUUAAAUUACUCUUAGAAUAAUAUAGUGGGGACUGUGGGACCCGUGUUGACUAUUUUUUACUUAUUAAAAUCAAAAAUAUUAUAGGCAAUAAUAAAAGGUUAAAAAGUCACAUAGUAGAAGAAUAUUGGGCUGAAAAAGUAGAAAAGGGUAAAAGGGUUAGUAAUAAUAGUUUAAAAGUAAAAGUUAAUAUGUAAAAGAAUAUAGGAAAGAGUCUUGCUUUGGGUAUAUAAUAGGACUCAUUUAACACUUAAAAGGAAACUGGAUGGAGGGAGAGAGAGAAAUAUUUUUAGUACUAGAGGAAAGAAAGAAAAAAGACUUUUGAAUCUUAAUGAUUUUUUAGUGUUUGAAAGUUAGAAAUAAAAAAAUAUAUGUUCUUCUUCACUGUUAACAAUUGGCAUUAACUGUUAUUGUUCAUUAAAGCUUCAAGCUUCUUUUUCUUAAGUGAUAAAAAUUAGAAGUCAUUUUUUGGCAACUGGGUACUUCUUUGUUGGUCUGGUUCGUUGUCUAUUAUUACUGGUAUUCAAGUAUAGUUACUUGGGUACAUUCUUGGUUGGUUUUACAAUCCAGAAGUUCUUGGUUUUCUUGCUUGGUUGCAAUCUCCUGUGUUUUCUGCUAUUCCCGCUGUUACUGGGUUACUCAUGUGUUGUUGAACUGUUGUUGUUGUGCGUGUGCUGCUAUUGCUUCCUACUGAUCUUCAUCUUCUUUGUAUUCCAAUACCAGGUACACCACUUUGAAUCACUUUGAUGUAGGCCUUGAAGAUGAAAUAAAAUGAUAGAAAUUUAUGUACUUAGUUAUAGUACAUUUGAAUUUUAGUUAAAUAUUAAUUAUAUAUUUUCCUACUAUACGGAUGAUAGAUGUAGUCAAUACGGUAUUCAGAGAAACAUAUUUGGUUAAUAAUAGAAUCAGUAGAUUUGACGUAUUUGAAGUAUGAUUCNNNNNNNNNNNNNNNNNNNNNNNNNNNNNNNNNNNNNNNNNNNNNNNNNNNNNNNNNNNNNNNNNNNNNUAGCAAGGCUAGGAACAUUAAUCCAUAGACGCGAAUUUGAGAAAUAUGAGUUGACAUUUAAGUUUAAUAAUUUUUUAUGCUUUAGUAAUUAUGGCUAAAGCUAGUUGCAAAUACCAGUGAAUAAUUAAUCUCAAUAGUUUUACGUAACAAUGUGAGUCUUAAUCUAGCUAUAAUUGAUUUCUUUUGAAUAUUUUGUCAAAUUUCGUAGUGUAUUCAUAAUUUCGAAUUUAUUUUAUUUAUAAUUUCGAAUUUCUCUUUUAUUUUAAUUUCCUUUCCGCUAAUAUUUGUCUUUAUCUAGAAAUUAAUGUGUUACAUUUUAAUCUUGCGAUUAAUUAAAUUUUUUCUCUUUUAUUAUAAAGACGGACAAAAAUAGAAGAAUGUAGCCGCUUUAGGAUUACCCUUGAAAAGUGAGGCGUGCCUCGCCAAAUAAAAAUACGUAAAAUGCGGGGCCCUCAGUAAAAGUUUUAAAAUAUUUAAAAAAAUUAGGAAGGGUCGUUUAGCGAAUUUCACGACCCUCCCAAAAGAUUAUAACGCGCUAGACUCUAUUAGGCGCGACUUUAAUAAAUUACAUUCCUAAAUAAGGGUGGGCAUUUUAUGCGGCUCAAAUCCAAAUCCUAAAACGUUCGAUAGAGUUUGCCUAGGAUUGCGGGCUCCGGCGGUGCAAUCCAAAAGCACACUUUAAAUGACGUUCACUUUCUCAAAUAAAUAUAUAUUAAAUAAAAGCGGUAAAAAGUAAAAUUGGCACAUAUGUUCUUCAUGUAAUAAAAUCGGAUUAAUAAGUUAAAUAUGAAAGUUGAGCGACCGUGCUAGAACCACGGAACUCGGGAAUGCCUAACACCUUCUCUUGGGUUAACAGAAUUCCUUAUCGGAUUUCUGGUACGCGAACUGUUAAACAGAGUCAUUCUUUUCCUCGAUUCGGGAUUUAACUGGUGACUUGGGAAACCAUAAAUUUCCCAAGUGGCGACUGUGAAUAUCUAAUAAAUAAUAUCGUUUCGACAUUCCUUUAAUUGGAAAAACUCCCCUUCACCCCUCGCGGGGCGGAAAAACGAGGUGUGACAAAUGUUACCUUGUAAAAUUGGGAGAUGCCAUCCAGCAAGGAGCACUUUGCCAUCAAGACCCUUCAAGCAUGUGACAAUCUGCUCAGCACUACCCCUGUUGAGCCUGGUUCAUCUUCUAAGACCCCUGUGAACAGAAAAGUCAGGUCCUUAGUUCAGGAGGUUGGAUUGAAGGAUGCUGAAAUAGAAAGGCUUAAUGAUAGGGUGGCAGAAUUGGAGGAAGAAAGGAAUGGGCUUAGAGCUGAUCUUUCCAAAGAAAAAGAGAAAAUGAAGGUAUGUUACAACAAAUGCAAAACAUGCUGAAACCCCAACCCUCCAGCUCUUCUAAGCCUUAGGUGUCCAGUGCUCAGUGUCCAGUCUAGUUUUCCCUUCGGUGUCAAGAUUAUGUGGUUCUUGGUGCGUUUUUCUUUUUGCUCAUGGUUGGAAGUUUUAUUUUUCUUUUUGUGGACUGCAUCGUAGGAACAUCUCUGUGAUCAAUGAAUGAAGUUUUUUUGGUUCAUGUUAAUCUUGUUCUUAAUAGCUAUUUCUGAGUUGAUUUUUGAUUAACUUGAACAUGUGUUCACUUGCAGUUGCCCCAUGGGCCAUGAGUACAAAUUAACUUCAAGGAUUCACAUUAUUUAUGCAACUUUUCGAUGAUGCCAAACGGGGGAAGAUAUUGUGCUUAAAAUUUUUCUCUGAACUAGUGAUGUUUAUGACCUAAAUCUGACCUCUUUAAUGAUAAGUUAAAUCAUUUUCUAAGUGUUGAUUUCAGCCAAGUUUACAGGUUCCCUGAUCACAAUAAGCACAGAGUUUGUCAUCAUCAAAAAGGUGGAAAUUAUUGGCCCAAGUUUCAGUUGAGUUUUGAAGAUUGACAAAUGAACUGAUAGAAAGACCUGGUCCAUCUUGUACUACACAGUCUGAAUCAACCAGUUCACAUGGAGAGCACGUGAGGAAGAUAAUGCACCAAAGAUCACGCAUCAAUAUCUUCUGAACAUAAUCGAAAAGGUUACAUUUGGGAUAAGGAGGACAAUCUCCUUAUGUGAAGAAAACUUAAUCCUAAGUUAGCAUAAGAGUUGGAGUUUGUGUUGGCUAAGGACUCGAAUUGUGUACGAAUGAGAAGUGGAGUCUUAAUCAAACUCUAACUACUGACUCAAUAUAUGAUUGCGUUAGUUCUCUUUUACAGGUAAUAAACACAAGCAUAAGUAAAGCAUAUUUGAGAGCAAAAAGAGCGAGUCUGAUUUGCAAGAAAUAUAUGCAAGUUACA